rnacentral:rRNA from 10 species
UUGACCUCGAAUCAGGUAGGAAUACCCGCUGAACUUAAGCAUAUCAAUAAG